rnacentral:rRNA from 1 species
UAGGGAAUCUUCCGCAAUGGACGCAAGUCUGACGGAGCAACGCCGCGUGAGUGAAGAAGGAUUUCGGUUCGUAAAACUCUGUUGUUAGAGAAGAACAGCGCAUAGAGUAACUGUUAUGCGUGUGACGGUAUCUAACCAGAAAGCCACGGCUAACUACGUGCCAGCAGCCGCGGUAAUACGUAGGUGGCAAGCGUUGUCCGGAUUUAUUGGGCGUAAAGCGAGCGCAGGCGGUCAAUUAAGUCUGAUGUGAAAGCCCACGGCUCAACCGUGGAGGGUCAUUGGAAACUGGAAAACUUGAGUGCAGAAGAGGAAAGUGGAAUUCCAUGUGUAGCGGUGAAAUGCGCAGAGAUAUGGAGGAACACCAGUGGCGAAGGCGACUUUCUAGUCUGUAACUGACGCUGAUGUGCGAAAGCGUGGGGAUCAAACAGG